AUUGAACGCUGGCGGCAGGCCUAACACAUGCAAGUCGAGCGGAUGACGGGAGCUUGCUCCUUGAUUCAGCGGCGGACGGGUGAGUAAUACCUAGGAAUCUGCCUGAUAGUGGGGGACAACGUUUCGAAAGGAACGCUAAUACCGCAUACGUCCUACGGGAGAAAGCAGGGGACCUUCGGGCCUUGCGCUAUCAGAUGAGCCUAGGUCGGAUUAGCUGGUUGGUGAGGUAAUGGCCCACCAAGGCGACGAUCCGUAACUGGUCUGAGAGGAUGGUCAGUCCCACUGGAACUGAGACACGGUCCAGACUCCUACGGUAGGCAGCAGUGGGGAAUAUUGGACAAUGGGCGAAAGCCUGGUCCAGCCAUGCCGCGUGUGUGAAGAAGGUCUUCGGAUUGUAAAGCACUUUAAGUUGGGAGGAAGGGCAGUAAGCUAAUACCUUGCUGUUUUGACGUUACCGACAGAAUAAGCACCGGCUAACUCUGUGCCAGCAGCCGCGGUAACAC
rnacentral:rRNA from 1 species